rfam:Triticum aestivum genome assembly, contig: Triticum_aestivum_CS42_TGACv1_scaffold_134172_2BL
UAUAUACUCCUUCCAUCGUAAAAAUUUUGUCUUAAAUUUGUCUAGAUACAGAUGUAUCUAAUACUAAAAUGUGGUUUGAUACAUCCAUAUUUAGAUAAAUGUAAGACAAGAAUUUUGGGACGGAGAAAGUAUAUA